CGACAAAUAAAUCGUAAACGUUUUGUUGACUUUUGAAAUAAAUGACAAAGUUUUUGUUGACUUGUCAUUUGAGUCAUGUCGUUAAGUAGGUUAACAUAAAAAAUUUAAGACGUUAAUGUCUCGUUUAUCUCCUCCGUAAAAACAAAACAACGUUGUUUAUUGAAGCUCGUUUUGUCUGUUGAAACAAAUUUAAACCCUAAAUCCUCAAAUCGAUUUCAUUAUUUAUGAUUUUGAGGCCAAGGUGGGUCUGUGAUUUUGAGAUAAUGAUAUCGAUUUGGAGAUUUAAGGUUUAUAUUUGUUUCAAGAGACAAAACGACGUCGUUUUGUCUCUUCAAUAAACAACGUUGUUUUGUUCUAACAGAUCAAAUAAACAAGACAUUAACACCGUAAAAAAAUUCUGUUAACCUAUUUAACGAUAUGACUCAAAUGGCAAGUCAACAAAAACUUUGUCAUUUGUUUCGAAAGUCAACAAAAACUUUACGAUUUAUUUGUCU